GGCACACCCCCAUCAAAGAGAGGAACGCUUAAAUCACCCAGAACAUUCCACUGUACCCUGCCAUCCAGUCAGUCUUCAGACAUCCCCACAGGCAACCUCAGUUUAUAUUUUUUUCAGUAUUCAUUGGUAUUGGCAGCUCUUCAAGUGACUGGCUCACAGGAUCUGGGUGGCAGCCUGAAUGCAAACUCUGAGCCCCUUGCAAGUCCUUCUUCAGAGGUGCCUGGUGUGAGACAGUAAACCAUGCCAUGAAGCUUGCUAAGGUAGCGCUGGUCUGAUAUCCAGAGACUUGGUCUUCUUGUUUUCCUUACCUGACCUCUACAGUAGAAAGCACAGCACUGCAUUGAGGAGGGAGGAGCACAGCUUGGAUGUUUUCCUGAACUGAAGAUUUCUGUGCGACUCACAGAAGGAAACUGAGGCUGGAGAUGACAGAACAGCCUUUCCAGUCUGAGAAGGCAGCUUCAAGCUAAGUGCAUACUUGUCAGAGGCCUUCUGGGGCAGCUGACACCACUUCCUGAACCUAUGCAGUGUGGACCAGGGACCUGCUGUGAUAUGCUGUCACUCAGGAAAGCCAGAUCCACAACAGCUGACACCACGCCACCAAAGGAGGCUUCUGUUCCCAGAGGCCCUUUUGGUACUUCGCCUCUCUUAGAACAGGACCACUCUUCAUUCAUGGCCUCCUAACCCUUCGUCUCUGGUCCUCUCAGCCACCAUAGAUCUACCUAACCUUGAGUUCCAAAGCUCCACCAUAAGCCUCUACACUUCCCACUACCCAGCAUGCUUUCUGUUGACCAUUUAUCUUCCAAGGGCUUGAGCCCUGGCCCUGGAAUGACAGCUCACAGUUUGAAUUUUGUUCUACGAAUGUGUGAGACAUAAAGGAACACGUGAGCUCAUCAUAUCUGCUGCUGCGUACACUGGAACAGAGGUCAAGAACAUCCAUCCCGCUCUUCUGCACAGUGAACAAAGAGAAACAGAGACAAACAGGGCCCAAGAUCUAAGGGAAUACUGAGUAUGCACACGGGAGCGAUUGGCAAGAUCUAAAUGGAGAGAACUUGAGAGAGCCUUCAGCCAUUGAGCCCUAGUGACAAGGAUGGGCUCCAUCCCCUGAGGACGGUUUGUGAUGGUUCUGAGAUAAACCUCCUCCUAUCUUCUGCACCCAGAUACUGCAGCCAUGCAAGGCACCUUGGAAACAGCUUUAUUGCCCUGGUACUCUGAGAGAACUUCUCUUCUUAGGCCUACUUUAAAAACCAAGUCUGCAAAAUUCACACAGCAAAAGUUGAAACGGGAGUCCAUGUUCACUAAAAGCAAUGGGAGUCACACUGCAAUUCCAAUUCAGAGAAACUUCUUGAAAAUCUUCCAUGAAGAGGCAAUUGUUUAAAUUCUUCAGGAUUCAGAGAAGUGAGGCCAAGGGUUACGACUGCUGUGAUGAAACGCCAUGACCAAAAGCAAGCUGGGAAGGAAAGGGUUUGUUUGGCUUACCCUUUCAGAUGAUAAUCCAUCAUUGGAGGAAGUCACAACAGAAACUCAAGUAGGGCAAGAACCUGAAGGCAGGAGCUGAUGCCAAGAACACAGAGAGAUGCUGCUUACUGUCUUGCUUCAUAUGGCUUCCUCAGCCAGUUUUCUUAUAGAACACCGGAUCACAAGCCUAGGGGUGGCACCAUCUUCCAUGGGCUGGGCCCUUCAGCAUGAUUACUAAUUAAGAAAAUGCCUUACAGCUGGAUCUCAUGGAAACAUUUUCUCAAAUGAGGCUUCUUUCUCUAAAAUGACUCUAACUUGUGUCAAGUUGAUACACAAAACCAACCAGUACAUAUAUCCUUUCUUUGUUCCAUGCUGGGAAUAAAACCAGGACCUUGUGUAUACUGGCCAAGUUCUCCACCACUGAGCUACAUCCUCAGCUCUUGGUUUUUUGAGUCAGAAUCUUGCUAUGUACCCGGAAACUCAGCUCUCCUGCCUUUUCCUUCCAAUCUCUGGGAUAACAGGUGUGUCUUUUGAGCAUGAGGGGAGCCCUUGAAAGCAGGAAUAUAAAAAGGGACUGGUCUGGAAAAAUUACUCUGCCAAGAGAACACAGGAUGUAUGAGAAAGAAAACUGGGAAAAUAGAGCAUACUAAGAUUGCUGGACUCUCACUGAGAAAUAAUGAGACAGGGAAUGAGGCUACAGAGCCCAAAUAAAGGAAAAGUGUUGAAGUCUAACCUAAAAUGUCAGUGAACAAUAUGCACAUCUACAUACACACCCCACGUACACACACACAACCAUUUUGAAAAUGCAGAAAUUCCUUAAAGACACAUGCUAUAAAAAUGUAGGCAAGAAAGACAAGUAUUAAUAGAUAUUGCGCUAUUUUCCUUCACUAUGCUGAUCCUUGGAUUGCUGGUCUUUGAUUCUCUGUUCAAGAAUGAAUGUCUGGGGCUCAGGAUGUAACUCAAUUGAUAGAGUGUAUACCUCACUUAUAUGAAGUCCUGGGUUCUCUUCUCAUCUCAUUGCUAUAUUAACCUGGUAUGGUCAUGAAUGCCUACAACCAAAACACUUGGAAGGUAAAGACAGAACAAUCAAUAGUUCAAAGUCUUCUUUGACUACAAGUAAGUGCAAACCCUGUCUGAGCUACAUGAUAUCCUAUCACAGUAACACAUGAAGAUCCUCUAAGAGAUCAUCCAAAGUCACCCUGACCUAGAAAGGCUCUCCCUUGGUCUCCUUUUAGGUUCCUGAAGGAUCUUACCUGAGAAAUCUCCUUGUCCCACUCUAACUGGUGACUGCUUGACUACAGUCUUGUAUUGUGAUUGUCUAGUUCAUUCAUAGGAAGAGAGUGCCCUACUUGUCACUUCCAUUACUUCAGAAAUCUCCAACUCCCUGGGUUCUCUGCCUCCCUCACUCUCAAACCUCCAAGUGAAUAGGUUACCUACCCUAAGGCACAAGGUGGGAGGUGCCUCAGUAGGUCUCAAUGAGAUUGAAGCUAGCCUAGUCUUCAUUGUGAGUUCCAAGUCAGACAAAGCUG
rnacentral:lncRNA from 1 species